UGGGGAAUAUUGGACAAUGGGCGCAAGCCUGAUCCAGCAACGCCGCGUGGAGGAUGAAGGUCUUCGGAUCGUAAACUCCUGUCAGACGGGACGAAGGUACGGGGGCAAAUAGUCUUCGUGCUUGACGGUACCGUCAGAGGAAGCCCCGGCUAACUCCGUGCCAGCAGCCGCGGUAAUCCGGAGGGGGCUAGCGUUAUUCGGAAUUAUUGGGCGUAAAGGGCGCGUAGGCGGCCCGGUAAGUCAAAGGUGAAAUCCCUCGGCUCAACUGAGGAACUGCCUUUGAAACUGUCGGGCUUGAGGCCGGGAGGGGGUAGCGGAAUUCCCAGUGUAGCGGUGAAAUGCGUAGAUAUUGGGAGGAACACCAGUGGCGAAGGCGGCUCACUGGCCCGGUACUGACGCUGAGGUGCGAAAGCGUGGGGAGCAAAC
rnacentral:rRNA from 1 species